rnacentral:rRNA from 1 species
GACGUAGGGCGCGAGCGUUGUCCGGAUUUAUUGGGCGUAAAGAGCUCGUAGGCGGCUUGUCGCGUCGACUGUGAAAACCCGCGGCUCAACCGUGUGGUCUGCAGUCGAUACGGGCAGGCUAGAGUUCGGUAGGGGAGACUGGAAUUCCUGGUGUAGCGGUGAAAUGCGCAGAUAUCGGGAAGAACACCCGUGGCUAAGGCGGCUCUCUAGUACGGUACUGACGCUGAGACGCGAAAGCGUGGGGAGCGAACAGG